GACAGAGGCCCCGAGCGUUAGGCGGAAUCACUGGGCUUAAAGCGUGUGUAGGCGGAUCGUUAAGUGUCUUGUGAAAUCCCACGGCUCACCCGUGGAACUGCUGGGCAUACUGGCGAUCUUGGGCCAUUCAGGGGCGACUGGAACAAGCGGUGGAGCGGUGAAAUGCGUAGAUAUCGCUUGGAACGCCGAAGGUGAAAACAGGUCGCUGGGGAUGUGCCGACGCUGAGACACGAAAGCCAGGGGAGCAAACAGG
rnacentral:rRNA from 1 species